GUGACUGCUGGCGGCGUGGAUAAGUCAUGCAAGUCAAGGGGGGCUGUAGCAAUACAGUCAACCGGCAAACGAGGUAGUAACACGUAGGUACAUCCCCCGAAGUCGGGCAUAGCCAGCCGAAAGGUUGGGUAAUUCCCGAUAGUCCCGCAAGGGUAAAGGCAGUUAUUUAUUUAAUUGUCGCUUCGGAAGUGGCCUGCGUAGUAUCAGCUAGUUGGUAAGGUAAUGGCUUACCAAGGCUACGACGCUUAGGGGCGCUGAGAGGCGGACCCCCACCGAUCGGACUGAGAUACGGCCGAUACUCCUACGGGAGGCUGCAGACGAGAAUAUUCCGCAAUGGGCGAAAGCCUGACGGAGCGACGCCGCGUGAUGGAUGAAGUGCUUUGGUACGUAAACAUCUUUUAUCGGGGAUGAAGUUUAUUGACAGUACCCGAUGAAUAAGGGGCUCCUAACUCUGU
rnacentral:rRNA from 1 species